CCCUGAAUGGUGUAAAAGGUUAACAUGAUUGGCUACUAACCAAAAUGUUGGAGGUUUGAGUCCACCUUGAGGCC
rnacentral:tRNA from 1 species